AUUGAACGCUGGCGGCAGGCUUAACACAUGCAAGUCGAGCGGAGAUGAGGUGCUUGCACCUUAUCUUAGCGGCGGACGGGUGAGUAAUGCUUAGGAAUCUGCCUAUUAGUGGGGGACAACAUUCCGAAAGGAAUGCUAAUACCGCAUACGUCCUACGGGAGAAAGCAGGGGAUCUUCGGACCUUUCGCUAAUAGAUGAGCCUAAGUCGGAUUAGCUAGUUGGUGGGGUAAAGGCCUACCAAGGCGACGAUCUGUAGCGGGUCUGAGAGGAUGAUCCGCCACACUGGGACUGAGACACGGCCCAGACUCCUACGGGAGGCAGCAGUGGGGAAUAUUGGACAAUGGGGGGAACCCUGAUCCAGCCAUGCCGCGUGUGUGAAGAAGGCCUUAUGGUUGUAAAGCACUUUAAGCGAGGAGGAGGCUACUGAGACUAAUACCCUUGGAUAGUGGACGUUACUCGCAGAAUAAGCACCGGCUAACUCUGUGCCAGCAGCCGCCGCCGUAA
rnacentral:rRNA from 1 species